rnacentral:rRNA from 1 species
CGCCUGUUUAUCAAAAACAUCUCUUUUUGAAAGAUAAAAAGUACCGCCUGCUCAAUGCUUUAAGUAAAUAGCCGCAGUAUUUUGACUGUGCUAAGGUAGCAUAAUCAUUAGUCUUUUAAUUGAAGGCUGGUAUGAAUGGUGAGACCAGAAAAUUUCUGUCUCUUCAAAAAAUAUUGAAUUUCAUUUCUGGGUGAAAAAGCCAAGAUGAUUUUGAAGGACGAUCAGACCCUUUGGAGCUUUACUUUGUUAUGUGUAUUAGUUAAUUUUAAAUAGUUGUACACAUAGUGUGGUUUUGUUGGGGCGACAAAGAGUUAAAAGUAACACUCUUUUUAUUAAACAAAAAUAAUUGAAUAUUUGAUCCCUUACGUAGGAUUAAAAGAUUAAGUUACCCUAGGGAUAACAGCGUAAUCUUUUUGGAGAGUUCUUAUCGAUAAAAAGGUUUGCGACCUCGAUGUUGGAUUAAGAAAUUAGCAAGGUGCAGAAGUUUUGCUGGAAAGUCUGUUCGACUUUUAUAAUCUUACAUGAUCUGAGUUCAAACCG